rnacentral:rRNA from 1 species
UACGUAGGUGACAAGCGUUGUCCGGAUUUACUGGGCGUAAAGAGCGCGCAGGCGGUCGAUCAAGUCGAGUGUGAAAGCCCCCGGCUCAACUGGGGAGGGUCAUUCGAUACUGAUCGACUCGAAGGCAGGAGAGGGUAGUGGAAUUCCCGGUGUAGUGGUGAAAUGCGUAGAUAUCGGGGGGAACACCAGUGGCGAAGGCGGCUACCUGAACAGAUACUGACGCUGAGGCGCGAGAGCGUGGGGAGCAAACAGG